rnacentral:lncRNA from 1 species
UUAGCGUGUCCUCGCCACGUUUCCCCCAGUUCGACGGCGUCGAGGGCCGCUGGUUCCAGAAGCUGUACUUGUCACGUCCUUAUCACUCCCUUAUCACUCCCUUAUCACGCCCUUAGCGUGUCAUGGCGUGUUCUUAGCGUGUCCUUAGCGUGUCCUUAGCGUGUCCUUAGCGUGUACUUGCCACGUUUCCCCCAGUUCGACGGCGCCGAGGGCCGCUGGUUCCAGAAGCUGUACUUGUCACACCCUUAUCACAUCCUUAUCACACCCUUAGCAUGUAAUGGCGUGUCCUUAGCGUGUCCUUAGCGUGUCCUUAGCGUGUCCUCGCCACGUUUCCCCCAGUUCGACGGCGCCGAGGGCCGCUGGUUCCAGAAGCUGUCCGCUCGCUUCUGCAGCCGUCAGUCCUUCGCCCUGGAGCAGCUGAAGGCCAAGCAGCGCCGCGAUGCGCGCUUCUGCCAUUUCGUGGCUGUGAGACACCGCUGCGUCCCCAGUGUCCCCAAUGUCCCCAAAGUGUCCCCAGUGUGUCCCCAAUGACCCCAUUGACCCCAAUAUGCCCCAGUGACCCCAGUGUGUCCCCAUUGUGUCCCCAGUGUCCCAAAUGUGUCCUCAGUGACCCCAAUGUGUCCCCAUUGACCUCAGUGACCCCAAUGUGUCCCCAUUGGCCCCAGUGUGUCCCCAGUGUGUCCCCAUUGACCCCAGUGUGCCCCAGUGACCCCAGUGUGUCCCCAGUGUGUCCCCAAUGACCCCAAUGUGUCCUCAGUGACCCCAAUGUGCCCCAGUAACCCCACUGCGUCCCCAAUCUGUCCCCAGUGUGUCCCCAAUGUGUCCCCAUUGACCCCAAUGUCCCCAGUGUGUCCCCANUGUGUCCCCAAUGUCCCCAGUGUGUCCCCAAUGUCCCCAUUGACCCCAAUGUGUCCCCAUCAACCCCAGUGUGUCCCCAAUCUGUCCCCAAUGUCCCCAAUGUGUCCCCAAUGUGUCCUCAGUGACCCCGCUGUGUCCCCAGUGUGUCCCCAGUGUGUCCCCAUUGACCCCAGUGACCCCAGUGUGUCCCCAUUGGCCCCAAUGUGUCCCCAAUGACCCCAAUGUGUCCCCAGUGUCCCCAUUGACCCCAAUGUGUCCCCAUCAACCCCACUGUGUCCCCAAUGUCCCCAAUCUGUCCCCAGUGUGUCCUCAGUGACCCCAAUGUG